rnacentral:misc_RNA from 1 species
GAACAGAAACAGAUUGAAAGAGAAAGAGAGAGUGAAAUCUGUCCAUGACAAACACAGACGGUGACAGAGUGAGACAGACGUGAGAGCAGGAUAAAAGUGAAGAAAAAAUAAAUAAAACUACAAAGUAUGUUGAGACUUGCACAUGAGAUAGAGGCUUCAUCUUAGAGGCAUAA